rnacentral:lncRNA from 1 species
UUUUUUCUUUCAUGUAGUGAAAUGAAAAGAUCCAAAUCUUCAGUCAAAGGUAGCAAAAUUAGAUGCCAUUGCCUAAAAUGUGUUUUGCUGAGUUUCCAAAUGGAUGGAUGGUUAAAGGCAUUGGAAUUGGUCUGCAUUGGAAAGAUGCUAGUUUAGUUCUACUGUACCUGAAGCUAUGGAAAUUUAGAUUUUGUUUUCUCAAAGUUGGAUCCCGGAGGUUGAAGUUAGAGUUUGAAGUUGAAAAUCAUUUUGAAGGCAGACUCGAUAAAGUAGUGAGGGUGAAGCCCUUACUUUCUUCUCAACAGACAUAAUAAACAUCACCUGCAUGAGUUAGCAGGUGGGAGAACCAAACUGGAUCCCUGGGUAGGAGUACUCAGUAAAGCAACACACUGUUUGCUUAGAGAAGCAUCACUAUCCCCAUUGAGAAAAAAUGGGUGAUUCAGUGCCCCCAAAUUCAACUCUGUGGGGAAAACUAUUGAGCCAGUUGUGAGUGUUGUGUUCCAACUGGCAGACUCGAUUCUUUGUCAUCGUUGUUCUUGUUGUUGCUGUUGUUGUUUCGCAUUUCCACUUGCACAGCCUUAUUGUCAUAAUUAAACUCUGAUUCAUUUUCUCUUUGGUGUUAGCAAACUCCAAUGACAGAAGUGGCAUCUGUGUAUUGAUAAUCAGCAUUUACCCUGGCAGGGGACUAAUCAGAUAGGCUGGUCUCAGACAUUAAUCCUACCAUCUGAUAUUUCCAGCAAAAGAGAAAGUGUUAGUUCCCUUUCCAUUCCCCUCCUCAUGAAUCUAGAAGCCCUCUGUACCAAGAGCAUCACAUUUUUCUCUGUAAUCUUAAAAAAAAAAAG